rnacentral:rRNA from 2 species
ACUUCCUUCGGGAGGGGAUUAGUGGCGAACGGGUGAGUAACACGUGGGCAAUCUGCCCUUCACUCUGGGACAAGCCCUGGAAACGGGGUCUAAUACCGGAUAUGACACGGGGUCGCAUGAUCUUCGUGUGGAAAGCUCCGGCGGUGAAGGAUGAGCCCGCGGCCUAUCAGCUUGUUGGUGGGGUGAUGGCCUACCAAGGCGACGACGGGUAGCCGGCCUGAGAGGGCGACCGGCCACACUGGGACUGAGACACGGCCCAGACUCCUACGGGAGGCAGCAGUGGGGAAUAUUGCACAAUGGGCGAAAGCCUGAUGCAGCGACGCCGCGUGAGGGAUGACGGCCUUCGGGUUGUAAACCUCUUUCAGCAGGGAAGAAGCGAGAGUGACGGUACCUGCAGAAGAAGCGCCGGCUAACUACGUGCCAGCAGCCGCGGUAAUACGUAGGGCGCAAGCGUUGUCCGGAAUUAUUGGGCGUAAAGAGCUCGUAGGCGGCUUGUCGCGUCGGAUGUGAAAGCCCGGGGCUUAACCCCGGGUCUGCAUUCGAUACGGGCAGGCUAGAGUUCGGUAGGGGAGAUCGGAAUUCCUGGUGUAGCGGUGAAAUGCGCAGAUAUCAGGAGGAACACCGGUGGCGAAGGCGGAUCUCUGGGCCGAUACUGACGCUGAG